rnacentral:rRNA from 1 species
GAUGAACGCUGACAGAAUGCUUAACACAUGCAAGUCUUUGGCAAAUCUGUGCUUGCACAGCAUAGCCAAGGCGGACGGGUGAGUAACGCGUAAAGAACUUGCCCUGCAGUCUGGGAUAACAGACGGAAACGACUGAUAAAACCUGAUAUAAUCAAGCCCACGCAUGUGGUGCUUGAUGAAAAGAAAUGCUGCAGGAGAGCUUUGCGUCCUAUUAGCUUGUUGGUGGGGUAAUGGCCCACCAAGGCAAUGAUAGGUAGCCGGCCUGAGAGGGUGACCGGCCACAAGGGGACUGAGAUACGGCCCUUACUCCUACGGGAGGCAGCAGUGGGGAAUAUUGGACAAUGGGGGCAACCCUGAUCCAGCAAUUCUGUGUGCACGAAGAAGGUUUUCGGAUUGUAAAGUGCUUUCAGCAGGGAAGAAGAAAAUGACUGACCUGCAGAGGAGCGCGCA